AAUAGGGUAGCCUAGUGGACAUGGCAUCUGCCCGGUAAGCAGACCACUGUGGGUUCGAUUCCCAUCCCUGGACACAUUU
rnacentral:tRNA from 1 species